UGGGGAAUUUUCCGCAAUGGGCGAAAGCCUGACGGAGCAAUCUCGCGUGAGGGAUGACGGCCUAUGGGUUGUAAACCUCUUUUUUCAGGGAGGAAUCAAAUGACGUGUACCUGAAGAAUAAGCAUCGGCUAACUCCGUGCCAGCAGCCGCGGUAAGACGGAGGAUGCAAGUGUUAUCCGGAAUCACUGGGCGUAAAGCGUCUGUAGGUGGUUUAGUAAGUCAACUGUUAAAUCUUGAAGCUUAACUUCAAAAUCGCAGUCGAAACUGCUAGACUAGAGUAUAGUAGGGGUAAAGGGAAUUUCCAGUGGAGCGGUGAAAUGCGUAGAGAUUGGAAAGAACACCGAUGGCGAAGGCACUUUACUGGGCUAUUACUGACACUCAGAGACGAAAGCUAGGGUAGCAAAUG
rnacentral:rRNA from 1 species